AUGUUCUGCUCGGGAUCCCAUCAGAGCGUGGCCCAGAGGAGCUGGUGCUGCUGCCAACCCUCAGCGGUGCCACAGCAGCCAGGCACCAAGAGACAGCGUGGCACUAUGAGCAUAUCCCAGCCCUCAGCCAUGCUGAGCAUGCAUGGAAAUAGCAGUGCUGCAUCUCCUGCUAACCCAGCGGGACAACAAGGGCUGCUUCACGGGGAGGUGACACAGAGGUGGCUGCAGAUGAGGCAGCUCGAGGAGAGAAGCCACCUGCCGAGGCCACCAGCUGUUCCUGUCCCAGAUCUGAGCCAAACUGUGGGUCCCAGUGUUCUCCGCAGCUGGAAAGUCAAAGAGACACAAGCCAUCUUCCAGAGUCCUUGGAGGACGUCAGCAUGAAC
rnacentral:lncRNA from 1 species